rnacentral:rRNA from 1 species
AUACGUAGGGUGCGAGCGUUGUCCGGAAUUACUGGGCGUAAAGAGCUCGUAGGUGGUUUGUCGCGUCGUCUGUGAAAUUCCGGGGCUUAACUCCGGGCGUGCAGGCGAUACGGGCAUAACUUGAGUACUGUAGGGGAGACUGGAACUCCUGGUGUAGCGGUGAAAUGCGCAGAUAUCAGGAGGAACACCGGUGGCGAAGGCGGGUCUCUGGGCAGUAACUGACGCUGAGGAGCGAAAGCAUGGGUAGCGAACAGGAUUAGAUACCCUGGUAGUCCAUGCCGUAAACGGUGGGCGCUAGGUGUAGGGGUCUUCCACGACUUCUGUGCCGUAGCUAACGCAUUAAGCGCCCCGCCUGGGGAGUACGGCCGCAAGGCUAAAACUCAAAUGAAUUGACGGGG